ACGAACGCUGGCGGCGUGGAUAAGACAUGCAAGUCAAACGAGACAUGUUUGUAGCAAUACGAAUAUGUUUAGUGGCGCAAGGGUGCGUAACACGUGGGCAAUCUGCCGGAAAAUGGGGGAUAGCUCGCCGAAAGGCGAAUUAAUACCGCAUGUGGUCAAGGGGGACCUCCUCCUGAACUAAAGUCGGGGCAACCUGACGUUUUCCGAUGAGCCCGCGGCCUAUAGCUAGUUGGUAAUAGGUAACGGCUUAGCCAAGGGCUAUGACGGGUAGCUGGUCUGAGAGGACGACCAGCCACACUGGAACUGAGACACGGUCCAGACACCUACGGGUGGCAGCAGUCGAGAAGUUUUUCUCAAUGGGGGAAACCCUGAAGGAGGCGACGCCGCGUGGAGGAUGAAGGUUUUCGGAUUGUAAACUCCUGUCAUGAGGGAGCAAUGCUGCGGGGUAGUAACUGACCUGCAGUUGAUAGUACCUCAAGAGGAAGGGACGGCUAACUCUGUGCCAGCAGCCGCGGUAAAUACAGAGGUCCCAAGCGUUGUUCGGAUUCAUUGGGCGUAAAGGGUGCGUAGGCUGUGUCAUAAGUCGGAUGUGAAAUCCCGGGGCUCAACCCUGGAACUGCAUUCGAUACUGUGGGUACUAGAGGACUCUAGAGGAAAUUGGAGAUUCACGGUGUAGCAGUGAAAUGCGUAGAUAUCGUGAGGAAGACCAGUGGCGAAGGCGGAUUUCUGGAGAGUUCCUGACGCUGAGGCACGAAGGCCAGGGGAGCAAACGGGAUUAGAUACCCCCGGUAGUCCUGGCAAGUAAACGGUGCACGUUUGGUGUGGGGAGGAUUCGACCCCUUCCGUGCCGGAGCUAACGCGUUAAACGUGCCGCCUGGGGAGUACGGUCGCAAGAUAAAACUCAAAGAAAUUGACGGGGGCCCCGCACAAGCGGUGGAGUAUGUGGCUUAAUUCGAUGCAACGCGAAGAACCUUACCUAGCCUUGACAUGCAUUUCUAAGUCGGUGAAAGCCGGCGAGUGUAGCAAUACACAACUUGCACAGGUGCUGCAUGGCUGUCGUCAAGCUCGUGUCGUGAGAUGUUGGGUUAAGUCCCGCAACGAGCGCAACCCCUGUGAACUGGUUGCCACCGGAUCGUGAGAUCCGAGCACUCUGUUCAGACUGCCCUGUGAAACGGGGAGGAAGGUGGGGAUGACGUCAAGUCAGGAUGGCCCUUACGGCUAGGGCUGUCACACGUACUACAAUGCUCAGUACAGAAUGAACCGAUACCGCGAGGGGUAGGAGUGGAAAUCUCCAAAACUGAGCCCAAUUCGGAUUGAAGGCUGCAACUCGCCUUCAUGAAGUCGGAAUCGCUAGUAAUGGUCGUAUCAGCUACGGCGCCGUGAAUACGUUCCCGGGCCUUGUACACACCGCCCGUCACAUCAUGGAAGUUGCUUGUACCCGAAGUAGGUGGAGCUAACCGCAAUGGAGGCAGCCUCCUAAGGUAUGAGCAGUAACUGGGAUG
rnacentral:rRNA from 1 species